CAGAGAGUCCAGAUAGCUCUAAAAUAUCACAAUUUUCGUCUGAGGUUUCGACUUCGACUUCCCAGAAUAUUUCGCUUCGAUUCAGAGAUGCAUCUGAGCAAAAAAGGAACAAACAGCAUAUGGCCAAUGAGCAAAAAAGGAACAAACAGCAUAUGGCCAAUGAGCAAAAAAGGAACAACCAGCAUAUGGCCAAUGAGCAAAAAAGGAACAACCAGCAUAUGGCCAAUGAUGAAACCACCACUGAAACCGAUGAUUUCUCUCAAUCUGAAGAAAUCCAUUAUGAUAAUAAAUAUAAACAAGGGUCC
rnacentral:lncRNA from 1 species